GACAGAGGUGCCGAGCGUUAGGCGGAAUCACUGGGCUUAAAGCGUGUGUAGGCGGAUGGGUAAGUACCUUGUGAAAUCCCACGGCUCAACCGUGGAACUGCUCGGUAUACUGCUCGUCUUGAGCCAACUAGGGGCGACCGGAACAAACGGUGGAGCGGUGAAAUUCGUAGAUAUCAGGAGGAACACCGGUGGCGAAGGCGGCCAUCUGGACGACAACUGACGCUGAGAUGCGAAAGCGUGGGGAGCAAACAGG
rnacentral:rRNA from 1 species